rnacentral:rRNA from 1 species
CGUACCUACGGGGCGCAGCAGUAGGGAAUUUUCGUCAAUGGGCGCAAGCCUGAACGAGCAAUGCCGCGUGAACGAGGAAGGUCUUCGGAUCGUAAAGGUCUGUUGAAGGGGAAAAAGAGCGGAGAGAGGAAAUGGUCUCCGAUUGAUAUUACCCUUCGAGGAAGUCACGGCUAACUACGUGCCAGCAGCCGCGGUAAUACGUAGGGUGCGAGCGUUAAUCGGAAUUACUGGGCGUAAAGGGUGCGCAGGCGGUUGAGUAAGACAGAUGUGAAAUCCCCGAGC